rnacentral:rRNA from 1 species
UACAGAGGGUGCAAGCGUUAAUCGGAAUUACUGGGCGUAAAGCGCGCGCAGGUGGUUUCUUAAGUCUGAUGUGAAAGCCCACGGCUCAACCGUGGAGGGUCAUUGGAAACUGGGGAACUUGAGUGCAGAAGAGGAAAGUGGAAUUCCAAGUGUAGCGGUGAAAUGCGUAGAGAUUUGGAGGAACACCAGUGGCGAAGGCGACUUUCUGGUCUGUAACUGACACUGAGGCGCGAAAGCGUGGGGAGCGAACAGG